UUGAGUUUGACGACAACAUCUGAAGCCUCUCUCCCUCUCUCGGAUUGCCGAUUCUCGUUUCUUUUCCUGCAUUCGAAAUUAAGUCAAAGGGAGGGAGCACACCGGUGAAGUGAUCUUCCCGGUUGUUUUCAGCCGGGAUAGCUUUCAAGCUCUUCAAAGGAGAGAUACUCUAGGGUGUGGUGCUGAGGUGUGGUCCGGUUGAGAACGUUUACAUCCACUGCCUAAAGAUGCCUGAUUACAAGUUCAUCCCUGGAGAGAAUCCGAUCUUCAUGAAUGAGAAUAUGUCAAGGAUUCAGGUUGAGACUAGGGUUAGAUUUGUGGUGAUCGAGGCGAGGUGGAUGGAGGUGGAGAAGGAGUUUCAGGCGUUGGCUAGACUUGAAGGAGACAAUCUUGGACCAAUCUCUGAAGAGUGAUCUGCUUUGUUUCUUCAUGUGAUGUUGUUUUUGGGCAAUAUCUUUUUGUUGAUAACUCAGGUCUUUAGUUUAUGUUUUGGUAAACUCUUUAGUUGUGUAAAUAAUUAAUGAACCAGAGCAUCAUCGACACUUUAACCAGUGCUAGACAUUUCCGCUA